rnacentral:rRNA from 1 species
GACGAACGCUGGCGGCGUGCUUAACACAUGUAAGUCGAACGGUGAAGGGGUCUGCUUUUGUGGGCCCUGGAUGAGUGGCGAACGGGUGAGUAACACGUGAGUAACCUGCCCCCUUCUUCUGGAUAACCGCAUGAAAGUGUGGCUAAUACGGGAUAUUCUGGGUCUGUCGCAUGAUGGGUCUGGGAAAGAUUGCGCCUUUGGGUGUUUUUGGUGGGGGAUGGGCUCGCGGCCUAUCAGCUUGUUGGUGGGGUGAUGGCCUACCAAGGCGGUGACGGGUAGCCGGCCUGAGAGGGUGGACGGUCACACUGGGACUGAGACACGGCCCAGACUCCUACGGGAGGCAGCAGUGGGGAAUAUUGCACAAUGGGCGCAAGCCUGAUGCAGCGACGCCGCGUGAGGGAUGGAGGCCUUCGGGUUGUAAACCUCUUUCGCCAGUGAAGCAGGCCUGCUCCUUGUGGGUGGGUUGACGGUAGCUGGAUAAGAAGCGCCGGCUAACUACGUG